CCUACGGGAGGCAGCAGUGGGGAAUAUUGCACAAUGGGGGAAACUCUGAUGCAGCGAUGCCGCGUGAGUGAAGAAGGCUUUCGGUAUGUAAAGCUCUAUCAGCAGGGAAGAAAAUGACGGUACCUGAUUAAGAAGCCCCGGCUAACUACGUGCCAGCAGCCGCGGUAAUACGUAGGGGGCACGCUUUAACCGGAUUUACUGGGUGUAAAGUGAGCGUAGACGGCAGCACAAGUCUGGCGUGAAAUGCCCGGGCUUAACCCCGGAACUGCUUUGGAAACUGUGCAGCUAGAGUGCAGGAGAGGUAAGUGGAAUUCCAUGUGUAGCGGUGAAAUGCGUAGAGAUUAGGAGGAACACCAGUGGCGAAGGCGGCUGACUGGACUGUAACUGACGUUGAGGCUCGAAAGCGUGGGGAGCAAACAGGAUUAGAUACCCUAGUAGUC
rnacentral:rRNA from 1 species